UCUGUGAUGCCCUUAGACGUUCUGGGCCGCACGCGCGCUACACUGACGGAGCCAGCGAGUUUAUACCUUGGCCGAGAGGUCCGGGAAAUCUUGUGAAACUCCGUCGUGCUGGGGAUAGAGCAUUGUAAUUAUUGCUCUUCAACGAGGAAUUCCUAGUAAGCGCAAGUCAUCAGCUUGCGUUGAUUACGUCCCUGCCCUUUGUACACACCGCCCGUCGCUACUACCGAUUGAAUGGCUUAGUGAGGCUUCCGGAUUGGUUUAAAGAAGGGGGCAACUCCAUCUUGGAACUGAAAAGCUAGUCAAACUUGGUCAUUUAGAGGAAGUAA
rnacentral:rRNA from 1 species